rnacentral:lncRNA from 1 species
UCUCCUUCUUUUAGUGUUCGUGCAUCAAUAUCCCCCCUGGCCAUGGCAGAUGUCGGCUGAAUCCGGUCAAAAGGUCCCAUUUGCUUGUGCUGAUGUUUUCACGGUACAUGUACUCUCCACACUUCCUUUAAUGAUGGAAAGCUUGACUCAACUUCAACCUCAAAUCCACAGGACAGGCCACUCACUGGCUAUGAAACGCAAAAUACUGGAACAGAAGCGACUGUUAUUUUGCAUUCCACCCCAGACACGACAUAUGUGGAGGAGAUGAUAGAGAAGGCAUUAUCUGUUUUGUGCUUUUCAUUGGAUGAGUUGACCUUAUCAAAAUCUAUUUUCAAUUAUUCAUGAAAAAUUAUAAAUUGCAAGGGAAGAUUUCUAUCGCUAUGUAAGUGAAUUAAAGAUGAUUCUUUUUUUAUCAGUGCUCAAAGGUGCAAAAGUGGUUGGAAUCGUUUGUUCUGAGCUAAUAGAUGAGAACGUC